GAACGAACGUUAGCGGCGCGCCUAACACAUGCAAGUCGAGCGAGAAAGGGCUUCGGCCCCGGUAAAGCGGCGCACGGGUGAGUAACACGUAGGUAAUCUGCCCCCGGGUGGUGGAUAACGUUCCGAAAGGAGCGCUAAUACAGCAUGAGACCACGGUUCCGUAAGGGAUUGAGGUCAAAGCCGGCCUCUUCACGAAAGCUGGCGCCUGGGGAUGAGCCUGCGGCCCAUCAGCUAGUUGGUAGGGUAACGGCCUACCAAGGCGAAGACGGGUAGCUGGUCUGAGAGGAUGAUCAGCCACACUGGAACUGAGACACGGUCCAGACUCCUACGGGAGGCAGCAGUGGGGAAUCUUGCGCAAUGGGCGAAAGCCUGACGCAGCGACGCCGCGUGAGUGAUGAAGGCCUUCGGGUUGUAAAGCUCUGUGGAGGGGGACGAAUAAGGGUUGGCUAACAUCCAGCUCGAUGACGGUACCCUUUUAGCAAGCACCGGCUAACUCUGUGCCAGCAGCCGCGGUAAGACAGAGGGUGCAAACGUUGUUCGGAAUUACUGGGCGUAAAGCGCGUGUAGGCUGCUCGGAAAGUCGGAUGUGAAAGCCCUGGGCUCAACCUAGGAAGUGCAUUCGAAACUUCCGAGCUGGAGUCCUGGAGAGGAAGGCGGAAUUCUCGGUGUAGAGGUGAAAUUCGUAGAUAUCGAGAGGAACACCGGUGGCGAAGGCGGCCUUCUGGACAGCGACUGACGCUGAGACGCGAAAGCGUGGGGAGCAAACAGGAUUAGAUACCCUGGUAGUCCACGCCGUAAACGAUGGGUGCUAGGUGUCGCGGGCUUUGACCCCUGCGGUGCCGUAGCUAACGCAUUAAGCACCCCGCCUGGGGAGUACGGCCGCAAGGC
rnacentral:rRNA from 1 species